rnacentral:rRNA from 1 species
AUUGAACGCUGGCGGCAUGCUUUACACAUGCAAGUCGAACGGUAACAGGCCGCAAGGUGCUGACGAGUGGCGAACGGGUGAGUAAUGCAUCGGAACGUGCCCAGUCGUGGGGGAUAACUACUCGAAAGAGUAGCUAAUACCGCAUACGAUCUAUGGAUGAAAGCGGGGGACCGUAAGGCCUCGCGCGAUUGGAGCGGCCGAUGUCAGAUUAGGUAGUUGGUUGGGUAAAGGCUCACCAAGCCAACGAUCUGUAGCUGGUCUGAGAGGACGACCAGCCACACUGGGACUGAGACACGGCCCAGACUCCUACGGGAGGCAGCAGUGGGGAAUUUUGGACAAUGGGCGCAAGCCUGAUCCAGCAAUGCCGCGUGCAGGAAGAAGGCCUUCGGGUUGUAAACUGCUUUUGUACGGAACGAAACGGCUCUGGUUAAUACCCGGGGCUAAUGACGGUACCGUAAGAAUAAGCACCGGCUAACUACGUG